AAUUUAAUGACGGGUAUGCCUUAGCAAAAUUUAACUUAAAUUAUCUAGAAACAUCCUUUAAUUUAGUAAAGGUGAUUGAAAUUUUAUGUUUAUCUUAACCCUGAAAUAGUACCGUGAGGGAAAUACCUAGUUGCUAUUUAGUAGUGCUUGAUUCACGUACCUUUUGUAUCAUGGUUUAGCUAGAUUUAAACCUAAGUUGUAGAUAUCUCGAAGCCUAAUGAGCUACUUUCUGCUGCUGUAUUAGCAGAGAUUAAAAGUAACUGUGGCAAAAUUUUUUUUAAAGCAGAAAGUAGAAAUGAAAUUUUAUCCGUAUUAGGAGAUAGCUAGUUUUUUACAAAAAGCAUAGAAGUGCUGAGUUUCAUUAUUUAACUUUAAAUUUUACUGAAGUUAAAAUCUGAAGCCUUUAAAUUUUUGAGGAUAAGCUCAAAAAUAUUCGUGAUGAGUAAUAAUUAAGCUUUCUAAAAAUUUAAGCUUGAAAUCAGCUAUAAUUUGGAAGUUUGUUAUAAAUUAUUUAUAAUGAUAAAGGAAAAAUUUAUAUUAUAUUAAGAAAGUAAAAGCAUCUUAAAAACUAAAGUAAGAUUACUUAAUGCUAAAAUGAGUAUUUACAAUGACUAUAAACCUUUAGUUUUUCUAAAACUAAAGUUCUUUUAAUUUUAAUACCAUAAAAUUUUAGAAAGGAACUCGGCAAAAUAAAUUACUCUGCCUGUUUAUCAAAAACAUGGCUCUUUGAUUAUGAAAUAUAAAGAGUCGGACCUGCCCAGUGAUAAAAAUUUAACGGCCGCGGUACUCUGACCGUGCAAAGGUAGCAUAAUCAUUUGCCCUAUAAUUGAGGGCUAGUAUGAAUGGUUUGACAAGAGUAAUACUGUCUCUCUAAAAUUUUCUAGAAAUUAAUUUUUAGGUGAAGAAUCCUAAAUAAAAUUGAAAGACAAGAAGACCCUAUCGAGCUUCAAAGAAGCAUGUAGACAUAAUAAGCAUCAUUGCAUUUUCUACUACUUGAAAUUUUGGUUGGGGCGACUGAGGAACAUUCAGAGCUUCUUUAAUAUUGUUAAAACCCACAGGUUUUGAUCCAGCUAAAAUGCUGAUUAAUGGAAUUAGUUACCGUAGGGAUAACAGCAUAAUCUUCUUCAAGAGCUCAUAUCGAAAAGAAGGUUUGUGACCUCGAUGUUGGACUAGAAUAUCCUGAAGAUGCAGAAGUCUUUAAGGGUUGGUCUGUUCGACCAUUAAAAUUCUACAUGAUCUGAGUUCAGACCGGCGUGAGCCAGGUCAGUUUCUAUCUUCAAUUUAAGACUUUAAGUUUAGUACGAAAGGACCAACUUAAAAUAAUAAUUAUUUAAGACUACAGAUGAAAUGUAAUUUCUGUAUGAAAACUUAUAGACAUUAAAUAUACCAGCUACUUUUGGCUCUGGGAGAACUUCACUCCCUAAGUUUAACAUA
rnacentral:rRNA from 1 species